CCCUUAGAUGUUCUGGGCCGCACGCGCGCUACACUGACGAAUGCAACGAGCUUAUAACCUUGGCCGAAAGGUCUGGGUAAUCUCCAAAUUUCGUCGUGAUGGGGAUAGAUUAUUGCAAUUAUUAAUCUUCAACGAGGAAUGCCUAGUAAGUGCAGUUCAUCAGGCUGUGCUGAUUACGUCCCUGCCCUUUGUACACACCGCCCGUCGCUCCUACCGAUUUCGAGUGGUCCGGUGAACCAUCUGGAUUGGAUCGCAAGAUUCGAGAAGUUUAGUAAACCUUAUCACUUAGAGGAAGGAGAAGUCGUAACA
rnacentral:rRNA from 1 species